rnacentral:rRNA from 1 species
CCUCAAAUCAGGCAGGACUACCCGC